CUUACCGACGCUUUUAAAGGCAUAGCUGGAUUCAAAGAAAUCGAAGUACUGGAAUUUAAAGAAGGAAAUGUUAUAUGUGAAUAUAAAGCUGUAUUUGAUUUACUUGAAACCAAUGAAAACACAAUAAAACAAAUCAACACAACUGUUGUAGAGAGGAUUAAUAAUAUUAUUACACUACCAGCACCUGUUGAUAAGAACUAUACAAAACAACAAAUAGACAACUUUAUAAAUUCUGGUGAAGCAGCUAGAUUUGUCGAUCCUUGUAUAGAUGCAUGUCCUACUGGUAGCACGUGUAGUAGAACGUCUAACAAUGAUUUAAACUGUAGAGAUUCGUGUGAUGGUUUUAACUGCGGUAAAUCCGGUACAUGUGUUUUACAUUUAGGACAACCCAAGUGUAGAUGUGAUGAGACGUCUGAUGUGAUAUACAGUGGAGAGAAAUGUGAUGAAGAAAUAGAGAAACUAUUAUUAUCAACAAAUUAUAUCAUUAUUAUAAGUUGUAGUAUAUUUGGUGUUAUUAUUAUCAUCACUAUUAUCAUAGUUGUUGUGAUCAAAAGGAGAGCACGUCUACAGACAAAAAAUGAUAAGAAAUCCGAUCAAAACAAUUUGAGUUUUGAGAGCAUUUCAUCGUACAACCCGGCACUGGAUGAAGAAAACAUUAACGAAUCAACUACUGAUGGACGUAUGAGAUCUGAUACAGAUGCAAAUAAGAAUCAAAUACAUCAACUUGGUAAUAUUAGUCCAUCUGGCGGCUCGUUUUAUGAACACAUCGACACGGAAACCACGUUCGUGAUUCGCCGCCCGAAGAUAAAUGUUUAUGGCCAAGAUAACUUGACAAGUUAUUUGAAAACGGAGAUAUGAAAUGAGAUUGUCAUUAUAAAUAAUGUUUUAAAACGUCAGGGCUGCUUGGUAAUGUGGAGGUGGG